GAUGAACGCUGGCGGCGUGCCUAAUACAUGCAAGUCGAGCGAACAGACGAGGAGCUUGCUCCUCUGACGUUAGCGGCGGACGGGUGAGUAACACGUGGAUAACCUACCUAUAAGACUGGGAUAACUUCGGGAAACCGGAGCUAAUACCGGAUAAUAUAUUGAACCGCAUGGUUCAAUAGUGAAAGACGGUUUUGCUGUCACUUAUAGAUGGAUCCGCGCCGCAUUAGCUAGAUGGUAAGGUAACGGCUUACCAAGGCGACGAUGCGUAGCCGACCUGAGAGGGUGAUCGGCCACACUGGAACUGGGACACGGUCCAGACUCCUACGGGAGGCAGCAGUAGGGAAUCUUCCGCAAUGGGCGAAAGCCUGACGGAGCAACGCCGCGUGAGUGAUGAAGGUCUUCGGAUCGUAAAACUCUGUUAUUAGGGAAGAACAAAUGUGUAAGUAACUAUGCACGUCUUGACGGUACCUAAUCAGAAAGCCACGGCUAACUACGUG
rnacentral:rRNA from 1 species